AGUGAACGCUGGCGGUAGGCCUAACACAUGCAAGUCGAACGGUAGCACAGUAAGAGCUUGCUCUUACGGGUGGCGAGUGGCGGACGGGUGAGGAAUACAUCGGAAUCUACUUUUUCGUGGGGGAUAACGCAGGGAAACUUACGCUAAUACCGCAUACGACCUACGGGUGAAAGCAGGGGAUCUUCGGACCUUGCGCGAUUGAAUGAGCCGAUGUCGGAUUAGCUAGUUGGGGGGGUAAAGGCCCACCAAGGCGACGAUCCGUAGCUGGUCUGAGAGGAUGAUCAGCCACACUGGAACUGAGACACGGUCCAGACUCCUACGGGAGGCAGCAGUGGGGAAUAUUGGACAAUGGGCGCAAGCCUGAUCCAGCCAUGCCGCGUGGGUGAAGAAGGCCUUCGGGUUGUAAAGCCCUUUUGUUGGGAAAGAAAGGCAGCAAGUUAAUACCCCGCUGUUCUGACGGUACCCAAAGAAUAAGCACCGGCUAACUUCGUG
rnacentral:rRNA from 1 species